rnacentral:rRNA from 1 species
AUUGAACGCUGGCGGUAUGCUUAACACAUGCAAGUCGAACGGCAGCACGGUACGUAGCAAUACGUAUGGGUGGCGAGUGGCGGACGGGUGAGUAACACGUAGGAAUCUGCCUUGAAGCGGGGGAUAACCCGAGGAAACUCGGGCUAAUACCGCAUAUACUCGGGAGAGGAAAGCUAGGUAGCAAUACCUUGCACUUUGAGAGGAGCCUGCGUCCGAUUAGCUAGUUGGUAGGGUAAAGGCCUACCAAGGCGAUGAUCGGUAGCUGGUCUGAGAGGAUGACCAGCCACACUGGGACUGAGACACGGCCCAGACUCCUACGGGUGGCAGCAGUGGGGAAUAUUGGACAAUGGGGGCAACCCUGAUCCAGCAAUACCGCGUGUGUGAAGACGGCCUUCGGGUUGUAAAGCACUUUAGUUGGGGAGGAAGUUUCGUAGUUUAAGAGAUGACGAAAUUGACUGUACCCAAAGAAUAAGCACCGGCUAACUCUGUGCCAGCAGCCGCGGUAACAC